GCAGUGCGCAGUCGCGGGCCCCGCGAGAGCCGGGGCGCUGGCGCCAUCUUGUUCUCCACAGCGCCUGGCGGAAGGACGGUCGUGGGCGGGGCUGGCGGGCAGGUGCCGAGCCUUCAGACCCCUGGUCUCCGGCGCUGACGAUGAAAAAACUAAGAACUAAGAGAGAGGUGGAGAACUAAGAGAAGAAAAGCCAUUCACAUGAAAUUACACACCACGAAUAAACGUUCUGUUCAACAGAUGCUUAAUGUCCCUGAUCUUUGGCCUGCUCUCAGCCGCAGCCAGCACUCAAGUCCUCCUGAGGAUAGGCUGGCUUCAGGGAAAAGUAUUCUCUUACCUACUCUCAUGCCACCCCUUCAUCCAUUCGUUGCACCUGGUCCUUUUUAGCUUUGUUUACUCCUCUCCAUAAAAGAAGCCCCCCUUUUGUCCAGCCCUUGAGACACUUGCAGAUCUUAUGGUCAUAGCGCUGUGUCCAUUACAAUAGACCCCCUCCCCUGAUUGUAAUAGUCCCUUCCCUCCCAGGCAAUAAUCCUUUCAAAUAGUCUCCCUUUGCUAAAUCCGGAUCUGUUUUUUAUUUGACAGGUGUUUAUUUUGGGGAUGAUAACAAUGUUCUAAAAUUGAUUGUGGUUGCCAACUCUGUGAAUGUACUAAAAACCAUUGAAUUGAACACUUUAAAUAGGUGAAUCGUGUAUCACAUAAAUUAUGCCUCAAUAAAGCUGGGGUUUAAAAUUGUUUUUAGCAGUUUUGAAGGCUGUUUUUUUAAAAAAGGAAGAAAAAAAGUUAGCAAAUGGGACUAGAAAUAAAUAAAAAUAAUAGCCUCCCAAAAGACCAUAAAGGAGACUCUCAAUGACAGCAGUGCUAAAUCCUGCUGAGUUUAAAUAAAAUUAGAAAAGGAGAGAUCAUUGGUAGAAUAUGGGGUCUAUUACUGACUUUUCAAUGCUCUUU